rnacentral:lncRNA from 1 species
GUACAAAUCAAUAAUUUAAUCACAAUGUUGGUGCAACCAACAGUUGUAUCUAAUGUUAAAGUUUUCAGUACCCUCCAAUAAAACACCUGACACCCAUUAGGUAAUCAUGCUUUCCUUCCCCCUUCCCCAUCUCCUGGCAAUCUCUAAUCCCUCCUCCUAUGGAUUUUCAUAUCAUGGAUAUAUUCUAGAAAAGAACUCAAACAACAUGCAACCUUUUGUGGUUGGCUUUUCAGUGAGUAUAAUGUUUUCAUGUACAUCCUAGUUGCAGUAUAUAUCAGUACUUCAUUUAUGUCUGAAUAAUAUUCCACUACAUGUACAUACUAUAAUUUGUUUAUGUUGAUAGACAUUUGGUUGAUUAUCCAUUUUGGCUAUUAUGGAUAAUGCUGUUAGAAAUAUUCUUCUACACAGCUGGGUGUGGUGGGGCACACUUGUGGUACUUAUGAGUUGGGAGAGAAGCAGUAGGAGUGCAAGUUUGAGGCCAGCCUCAGCAACUUGGUGAAACCCAGUCUCAAAAUAAAAAAUAGAAAUAGCUAGGGAUGUGGCUCAGUGGUUAAGCUCCCCUGGGUUCAAUUCCUGGUACCAAAACCAACCCCCCCCAAAAAAUGUCUCGUACAAAUUUCUGUGUGGACAUAUCUCUUCAUUUGUCUUAGGUAUCCACCAAGGAAUGAAAAUACUAGGUAAUAUGAUAAAUCUAUUUAAUAUUUUAAGGAACUGACAAACUUUUUCCCACAGCAGUGUCACUGUUUUAUUCCCCACCAGCUCUUUGAUUUCUUGACAAUGUUCUUUAGUACACAAAUGUUUUUAUUAAUAAUAAUUAUUAUUAUCUUUUAGGAGAUAUCUUACUAUGUUUCCCAGGCUAGUCUUAAACUCCUGAGCUUAAGUAACCCUCCUGUCUAAGCCUCCCCAGUUACUGGGCCCCACCUUUUAAAAUAUUUUACAACUGCAUUUUUUUUUCCUUUGGUUGCUUGUGCUUUUUGUACCAACCCACUGCCAAUCUGAAGUCAUGAAUAUUUACCCCAUGUUUAAGAAUUUUAUAGUUUCAGUUCUUAAUAUUUAGGUCGCUGAUCCAUUUUGAGUAAUUUUUAAAAUUAUUGUGUGAAGCAGGGGUUCAACUUUAGUCUUCUGCAUGUGAAUAUGCAGCUGUCUCAGCACUACUGGUUUAAAAAACCAAUUCUUUACCCACUGAAUGAUUUUGGCAUUCUUAUUUUAGAUGUUUAGGUUUAUUUAUUAUGGACUCUCAAUUCUAUUCUUUUGGUUUAUGUUUCUUUCUUUCUUUUCUUUUCUUUUUUUUUCUUUUUGGUACCUAGGAUUGAACCCAGGGGUGCUUAACCACUGAGCUACAUCCUCAGCCCAUUUCAAAUAUUUUAUUAGAGACAGACC